AAAAAAAAGAAAAAAAGUGUGGAAUGAAGAAUGAAUUAUUUGAAGUAUGUAUCUGUAUUGACAUGUAUAAUGCAUCAAGUGUCUCAUCAGGUUUUUUAUCUCUGAGGAGUAUCUGUUUCUCUAACCCUAUUCGGGGUAUCUGUUUUUUCCUCCGUCAUCUGGUCUGGAAAGACAUAAGAGGACUGCUCCCUAUGGAUGAUGGCGUACCCUUCGACGAGAGUGGUGACACAAAUCUCUGUUAGGGGUCACCUUUGGCUAAGUACUGUCAUGACUAUAGAAUAUCUGAUAGGAUCACUAUGGUCGGUACGGCUGUAGUCAUAGAUCGUACCAUGGUUUGACAAGCUGGAAAUGUGCCUGAGCAAAUUGUUGUUAUCUAUAUAUGAUCUGGUCAUUCCACAUGGGUAGUUGAAAAUCUGUAUCUGCCUUCAGAAAUGAAAAUUGUAACAAAUUCAAAAAGCAUGACACAAAAAUCUGACCAUUUCAUGAUUUAUUUGAUUUUCUCUAUUAUUUAGUAUGAUGUGUGU
rnacentral:lncRNA from 1 species